GGGGAGGGAAGUAGGGGAAGCGGCCGCCCCCGCUGCCUGAAGAAAGCUGCCGUGAUGGUGGAUGGUCUCACUGGGUUUUCAGCCGGUUUCCAGCAGCAGCAGCAGCAACCUGGAGCUCCGGGUGGAGGACCUCCCAGAACAACUUGCUUGAGAGUCAUGGACCUGAAAACUAUCCACAAACCCCUUCUGGAUCCAAGAACCCCAUGUCCAUGGAGAUGAUCUCUACAAUUCCUU